GAGUAAUGUAUAGGAAUCUACCUAGUAGUACGGAAUAAUUGUUGGAAACGGCAACUAAUACCGUAUACGCCCUACGGGGGAAAAAUUUAUUGCUAUUAGAUGAGCCUAUAUUAGAUUAGUUAGUUGGUGAGGUAAAGGCUUACCAAGACAAUGAUCUAUAGCUGAUCUGAGAGGAUGAUCAGCCACACUGGAACUGAGAUACGGUCCAGACUCCUACGGGAGGCAGCAGUGGGGAAUAUUGGACAAUGGGCGAAAGCCUGAUCCAGCCAUGCCGCAUGAGUGAAGAAGGCCUUCGGGUUGUAAAGCUCUUUUAGUGAGGAAGAUAAUGACGGUACUCACAGAAGAAGUCCUGGCUAACUCCGUGCCAGCAGCCGCGGUAAUACGGAGAGGGCUAGCGUUAUUCGGAAUCAUUGGGCGUAAAGGGCGCGUAGGCGGGUUAGUAAGUUAAAAGUGAAAUCCCAAGGCUCAACCUUGGAACUGCUUUUAAAACUGCUAGUCUAGAGAUUGAAAGAGGAUAGAGGAAUUCCUAGUGUAGAGAUGAAAUUCGUAAAUAUUANGAGGAACACCAGUGGCGAA
rnacentral:rRNA from 2 species